rnacentral:rRNA from 1 species
AUGAGAAGAAGAAGACGACGACCGAACAGCUUGACGAUGCACGGCGAGAGGCGGAGCGAGCGAAGGCGAGCGCACGGGCGACGCAGGAGGAGGUCGCCGCGGCCAGGGAAGACGCGCGCGUGGCCAAGGCCGCGGUCCGGGCCACGGAGGCGCGGCUGGAGGCCGUGUUGCGGGAGGUACUCGCCGCUAAGGCGUCGGCGGAGACCGUCGCGGCCUUGGCGGACGCGCUGCUGCAGCAGCAGGACGCCACCAAGAGCGCGCAGGCCCAAGUCCCCGAAGACUGUCGGCGAGCAGGUGGCGGAGGCGAUGAGGCAGGUCAAGGAGGCCAAGGACGCGGAGGCGCGGAGCCAGGGGAAGCUAGCGAAGCUGGGGAGGGAGGCGGCAUGGGCGCCAUCUCCUGGUCGCACCGGCGCGUCCGGCCCAGCUGUAGGAGGAGCGCGUCGUGGUCGUGCUUCCGGUGGUGGCGCGCGUAGUCCGCCAGCCGGCCCCGGAGCUCCUUCAUCCUGUCGUCCCCCCCUCCUCCGCGUGUUGCCCCGGACCUGUGCGCGGCGCGGCAAGGGCGGCGGCGUGCCGGGCGCGGCGAGGCGAGGGCGGCGGCGUGCCGGGUGUGGCGAGGCGAGAGAUGGAGAAGAGAAGAGAGAAGAGUUGCAACCCUGCCGAGAGAGAGAGGAUGGGUGUAUGGAGGGGAGCACGUGGGUGGGCCAUGGAAGGAAAGGGAUGAGAGAGGGGAAGAGAGACGUUGGCAGGUGGGUCUGCGCAUGCAAAACGGCGAAUUAA